UGGGGAAUAUUGUACAAUGGGCGAAAGCCUGAUGCAGCAACGCCGCGUGAGUGAUGAAGGCCUUCGGGUUGUAAAGCUCUGUCUUUUGGGACGAUAAUGACGGUACCAAAGGAGGAAGCCACGGCUAACUACGUGCCAGCAGCCGCGGUAAUACGUAGGUGGCAAGCGUUGUCCGGAUUUACUGGGCGUAAAGGAUGCGUAGGCGGAUUUUUAAGUGAGAUGUGAAAACCCUAAGCUUAACUUGGGGACUGCAUUUCAUACUGGAAAUCUAGAGUGCGGGAGAGGAGAAUGGAAUUCCUAGUGUAGCGGUGAAAUGCGUAGAGAUUAGGAAGAACACCAGUGGCGAAGGCGAUUCUCUGGACCGUAACUGACGCUGAGGCAUGAAAGCGUGGGUAGCAAACAGGAUUAGAUACCCUGGUAGUCCACGCCGUAAACGAUGAGUACUAGGUGUAGGAGGUAUCGACCCCUUCUGUGCCGCAGUUAACACAAUAAGUACUCCGCCUGGGAAGUACGAUCGCAAGAUUAAAACUCAAAUGAAUUGACGGGGUCAUAGCUGUUUUCCU
rnacentral:rRNA from 1 species